rnacentral:rRNA from 1 species
AGUGAACGCUGGCGGUAGGCCUAACACAUGCAAGUCGAACGGCAGCACAGUAAGAGCUUGCUCUUACGGGUGGCGAGUGGCGGACGGGUGAGGAAUACAUCGGAAUCUACCUUUUCGUGGGGGAUAACGUAGGGAAACUUACGCUAAUACCGCAUACGACCUACGGGUGAAAGCAGGGGAUCUUCGGACCUUGCGCGAUUGAAUGAGCCGAUGUCGGAUUAGCUAGUUGGCGGGGUAAAGGCCCACCAAGGCGACGAUCCGUAGCUGGUCUGAGAGGAUGAUCAGCCACACUGGAACUGAGACACGGUCCAGACUCCUACGGGAGGCAGCAGUGGGGAAUAUUGGACAAUGGGCGCAAGCCUGAUCCAGCCAUACCGCGUGGGUGAAGAAGGCCUUCGGGUUGUAAAGCCCUUUUGUUGGGAAAGAAAAGAAGCAGGUUAAUACCCCGCUGUUCUGACGGUACCCAAAGAAUAAGCACCGGCUAACUUCGUG